GCAGCAGCCGCGGUAAUACGAAGGGUGCAAGCGUUAAUCGGAAUUACUGGGCGUAAAGCGUGCGUAGGUGGUGGUUUAAGUCCGUUGUGAAAGCCCUGGGCUCAACCUGGGAAUUGCAGUGGAUACUGGGUCACUAGAGUGUGGUAGAGGAUAGUGGAAUUUCCGGUGUUGCAGUGAAAUGCGUAGAGAUCGGAAGGAACAUCUGUGGCGAAGGCGACUAUCUGGGCCAACACUGACACUGAGGCACGAAAGCGUGGGGAGCAAACAGGAUUAGAGACCCCUGUAGUCCCUGUCUCUUAUAC
rnacentral:rRNA from 1 species